AAUCAACGCUGGCGGCGUGCCUAACACAUGCAAGUCGAACGAGAAAGUGGAGCAAUCCAUGAGUACAGUGGCGUACGGGUGAGUAACACGUGACUAACCUACCCUCGAGUGGGGAAUAACCUCGGGAAACCGGGGCUAAUACCGCAUAACAUCUUCGGAUCAAAUGCGUAAAGCAGCUUGAGGAGGGGGUCGCGGCCGAUUAGCUAGUUGGUGAGGUAAUGGCUCACCAAGGCAAUGAUCGGUAGCCGGCCUGAGAGGGCGCACGGCCACACUGGAACUGAAACAACGGUCCAGACUCCUACCGGGAGGGCAGCAGUGGGGAAUUUUGUCGGCAAUGGGGGAAACCCGUGACGCAGCAACGCCGCGU
rnacentral:rRNA from 1 species